GCUGGGUGUGGUGGCAUAUGCCUGUAAUUCCAGUGACUCAGGAGGCUGAGGCAGGAGGAUCACAAGUUCAAGGCCAGCCUGGACAACUUACUGAGACCCUGUCUCAA
rnacentral:sRNA from 1 species